UUGGCUUCCUGAAGACCUCUUCAUCCUGCAGAAGGUGCAACUCCACAGCAUCCUGAGAGGUUGGACACAAGGGGGGAUGUGACAGUCCUCAUGGAAGACUCGUGGACAAGUACCGCAGCAGAGAAGUUGUCCCCCUUGACAGCACACCUCGCAUUCAUCCGAGUUUUUCCGCUGCAAGGGCAGAUAACGUGGGCACCGCUAGGACCAUGGAGACCCACGAAUGCUGACCCUGUGGGGUUCUAGAACACAUCAUUUUUGUGUGUGCCAGAGUGGAUAUCCAAACCCAAUUUUUGAUGGGGGGAGCUGAUGCCACCUCCCUGGGGGAAAUUGCAAGACAAAUGGCACAACAAGCAGAGAGUCUGGGUGGUGACCGCCGCCACCAGGACUUUUCUUCUCUGGCUGUGGCUUGCCAACAGGUUCUGCUGCGUUUUGAGCUGUGCUGCUGCCUGCUGGCAAGCUUGUGCUUUGAGCUGGGCCACUCUGGGCGCAUUUGCUGAGCCCACCAGGCCUCUAUUAAUAGAUCUGACUGACCAAAGUAAGAAAUGAUGAUAACUGGCAUUUGGGUGCAGGAGUAUGGGAACUGUUGUUCCUGGUGCCUUGCCUAACUGCCCCAUGGUCGUAACAUAACAUGGCCCUAAAAUGUUCCACAGUGGGCAUGGAUGCUAUGACCCAGUAAAUAACACAUUAAAAUAAUUAAAAUUAAGUUACCUUUGGCACUUACAAUUGGCUUUACAAAAUGGAACUCUAUGGACCUUCUCUGUUAAAAUAUUUAA
rnacentral:lncRNA from 10 species